AACGAACGCUGGCGGUGCGUUUUAAGCAUGCAAGUCGAACGGCAGGAAGGUGCUUGCACUUUCCUAGAGUGGCGGACUGGUGAGUAACGCGUAGGUGAUCUACCUUUAAGACUGGGACAGCCUUUAGACAUAAGGGGUAAUACCGGAUGUGCUUAUUAUGUUUUGACGUAGUAAGGGAAGGAGCGUUUGCUCCGCUUAGAGAUGAGCCUGCGUCCCAUUAGCUAGUUGGUAAGGUAACGGCCUACCAAGGCGAUGAUGGGUAUCCGACCUGAGAGGGUGAUCGGACACAUUGGGACUGAGAUACGGCCCACACUCAUACGGGAGGCAGCAGCUGAGAAUCUUCCGCAAUGGACGAAAGUCUGACGGAGCGACACCGCGUGAAUGAUGAAGGCCGAAAGGUUGUAAAGUUCUUUUGCAGACAAAGAAUAAGGAUAGAAGGAAAUGUCUAUUUGAUGACGGUAGUUAUGCGAAUAAGCCCCGGCUAAUUACGUGCCAGCAGCCGCGGUAAUACGUAAGGGGCGAGCGUUGUUCGGAAUUAUUGGGCGUAAAGGGCAUGUAGGCGGUUGGGUAAGCCUGAUGUGAAAUCUACGAGCUUAACUCGUAAACUGCAUUGGGUACUGCUCAUCCUGAAUCAUAGAGGGGGAACUGGAAUUCCAAGUGUAGGGGUGGAAUCUGUAGAUAUUUGGAAGAACACCGGUGGCGAAGGCGGGUUCCUAGCUAAUGAUUGACGCUGAUGUGCGAAGGUGCGGGGAGCAAACAGGAUUAGAUACCCUGGUAGUCCGCACAGUAAACGAUGUACACUAGGUGUUGGGGUAAAACUCAGUGCCGGCGCAAACGCAAUAAGUGUACCGCCUGGGGAGUAUGCCCACAAGGGUGACACUCAAAGGAAUUGACGGUGGCCCACACAAGCGGUGGAGCAUGUGGUUUAGUUCGAUGAUACGCGAGGAACCUUACCUGGGGUCUGACAUCAAGAGGGAUACUAUAGAGAUAUGUAGCGUAUCCAUACGUCUCUGACUGGUGCUGCAUGGCUGUCGUCAGCUCGUGCCGUGAGGUGUUGGGUUAGUCCGCCACGAGCGCCACCCCUACU
rnacentral:rRNA from 1 species